UACGGGGGGGGCAAGCGUUGUCCGGAAUUAUUGGGCGUAAAGAGCUCGUAGGCGGUUUGUCGCGUCUGCUGUGAAAACUCGGGGCUUAACCCUGGGCCUGCAGUGGGUACGGGCAGACUAGAGUGCGGUAGGGGAGACUGGAAUUCCUGGUGUAGCGGUGAAAUGCGCAGAUAUCAGGAGGAACACCGGUGGCGAGGGCGGGUCUCUGGGCCGUAACUGACGCUGAGGAGCGAAAGCGUGGGGAGCGAACAGG
rnacentral:rRNA from 1 species